AUUGAACGCUGGCGGCAGGCUUAACACAUGCAAGUCGAGCGGUAGAGGGGAGCUUGCUUCCCUUGAGAGCGGCGGACGGGUGAGUAAUGCCUAGGAAUCUGCCUGGUAGUGGGGGACAACGUUCGGAAACGGACGCUAAUACCGCAUACGUCCUACGGGAGAAAGUGGGGGAUCUUCGGACCUCACGCUAUCAGAUGAGCCUAGGUCGGAUUAGCUAGUUGGUGGGGUAAAGGCCUACCAAGGCGACGAUCCGUAACUGGUCUGAGAGGAUGAUCAGUCACACUGGAACUGAGACACGGUCCAGACUCCUACGGAAGGCAGCAGUGGGGAAUAUUGGACAAUGGGCGCAAGCCUGAUCCAGCCAUGCCGCGUGUGUGAAGAAGGUCUUCGGAUUGUAAAGCACUUUAAGUUGGGAGGAAGUUCAGUAAGUUAAUACCUUGUUGAAUUGACGUUACCGACAGAAUAAGCACCGGCUAACUCUGUGCCAGCCGCCGCGGUAAGAC
rnacentral:rRNA from 1 species